GGUGUGUGUACAGUUUGAUUGACUCCCUUGGCGGGUACCUGUGAAAGCGAACACUACACUGUGAACCUUCAGACACCUGGUCAACAUGCGGGGACACCUUCUGAUUGUUGUGGUGGUUGUGGUGGUGGUGUGUCAGCUCACGAACUCCAUGGCGGAUACAGACACCAAAGACCAGAGCCUGUUGCAUCUGCUGACUAAGCGAGAAACCGUGUUUCCAAGGUUUCCACCUCCAUGGUGUGUGUGUGUCAGAGAGCCGUGCCCCUGCUACCCGCCACGCCCACGUGACCCGAUUCUGGAACCCACUUGGUAACUCCAUUGUAAAUCUGUCGGACAGGUGGAUGAUAAACAAACUCUCCAUCACUAGCAGCAUCAUGGUAUUCUCUCAUUACUGCAAAUGACAGAGUGGAAACGACUGCCUUCACCUGACUUGUCUGCCAGCAAAAAUAAAGAAUUAGACUCGCUGUUUGUUUUGAAGUGUUGCCAUGGAGUCAGUGAACUCUACUCACUGAUUGUGCUCCUUCGCUGUGUUGCCAGUAUAAUUCAGUCCUCAAUCCUUUCAUUUACAUUCAUUUCUAUUCUUUUAGUUUUGUGUAAACUUAAAAUAGAAGAAGGUCUGCAUUCUGACCAUGUUGUUAGCAAUAAUAAAAAUACCGUUAUGUAUGUAAAUAAACAAGUAAACAAUGAACUGACAGCAACUGAUUUGACCUGAAGAUUAAAGUAAACACAAUAUAAAGGUGGAUUGAGAAUCUGUUAUAUUUCACUUCGUCAGUAAAACUGCGAAUGAAAGAAUAGAUGAGAGACUGAACAGAAGAAAAAAAGAAAGUCGAUAAAUGAAAAAAAAAAUAAAAAAAAGAACGUU